AACUCGAUUUUUCUCAGAUUUUUGGACUUUUUUUGGGCCUAUGCCGUUGGCUGACACGUGUAAUGUUGUACAUCGUUUCUGUUUCAUGUGUAUUUGUGGGGGUACUUAGCUCUGCCUAUCUAUCUUAACUUCCCUGGUUCCUCACGUGGUGGUUAUUCCUGGGUGCGUCUAGCCUAUUUUGUCGAUCAAAGCGGCAGACAAGAAUCGGGAACCUCCACCGCUUCGACCUGCAAAACAAAAUAGACUGCGGUUCCUAGGAGGGCGAGUUGGACGCCGGCGCGUCACCGCUAGCCGCCCGCAGCCCAUGGCUGCUCGCGGCCCGCCACCACCGGCCGCUCGGGCCGCCCGCCCGGCCGCGCGUGACCGCGCCGUCGGUCGCCUACCCGCGCGUCGCCGCGCCGCCCGCGAGCGGUUCCCCACCGCGCGUCGCCGCUCGCCGUCCGCGACGCCCGUCCGUCACGCGUGGCCGCGCCGUCGCUCCGCCGUCCCGCGCAUCGCCGCGCCGCGUGCGGCCCACUGCCACUGCCGCCAACGGGAUGGAGGAGGCCACAGCGGGCCCGCUGCGCACGCGCGUGUGCAUCAUCGGCAGCGGGCCGGCUACGCACAUGGCGGCCGUCUACGCGGCGCUUCCCUCUCCUCCUCCGCCUCGUGGAUCCCGGCUCCUGCGGCGCGUGGGAGGCUCCGCGGCAGAGCAGGCCGAUUCGGUAGCAAGAAGGCAGUCAUGGAGCCGCCGGAGGGGUCUGGCCUCCACUGCGGUGGAGGCGGCGGGGGAAGCUGCUGCUUCUUUAUCUCUUACCCCUGCAGGGGAGGCACGAAGCCCGUUGCUUAUGAUUCAUCGAAGGUAAGCGCGCUGAGAUCGCCGUGUCUAGGACGACCCGCCAGCUUCUUCUCGCCGGCGUCGCUCCUCCCAUGCUGCUUUCUUCCGGGCUCCCCUCUAAUCUGGCUGAGGGAAACAUGAAGAAGGUCGACUUUCCUGGACCAUGUCGACGCGCAAGGCGGGGUGGACUCCCCUUCUCUCCAAAUUUCCCAGCGUGGUUUGUUUGCUUCUGUGGUUUGGGUUUCAAUUACCCGUUUCCUGUUUGCCUGGGGUAUUUCUGAUGUCUCCCUCAACCUCAGCUUGGCAAAAAAAAUGAUAGGAGAAGCACUUCAGAUAAUACUCACUUCAAAUAAUACUCAGGAGGUCUCUUUUUGGUGAAAUAUGCAAACUGUUGUUACAGUGAGUUUAUGGAGAAGCCAUCCAGCAUUCUCCUGGUCCCCUUUCUCUUUCAACUCCUGUCUAUGGAGAAUCCACAAGAGUAGUGUGUACCUUCAAUUUCUAAAUCCCCAGAACCGAAUCCAAGGUUGUUCUCUCCAAAUCGAUGUGGUGCUAGGUUAUUUGGCCGACAUCUGGCUCUUGUGUUCGCACACCGAUGGACAAGGAGCGCAAAGCGACUCAAAAGUAUUGGGGAUACCGUGAUGAUCCAAAGGAAACUCCCAACAUGCGCUACAAAAUCAUUGACUUAUAGUAUUGAUGAUAUGUGUGCGUCCAAGGCAUCAGUGGAACAUAUCUUGGGCACGUGGUGUGGCGCGCAUCGAGUACAGAGAUCAAGGAAGGCGCAAAAAACAUAUAGCAGUUGGAUUUCAUCUUUGUCGAUCGCUAGUAAACAUCAAAACCUCACCUCCAGCAACAGGUCAAGCUGACCUGAAACUCUGAAAGAGAGAAGGAAAGCAGUAUUCCAUCGAAAAUACCAUGUAAAGUGUUAUCCAUCUACAAAUCGAUGUAGAAAGUAUAAACACGAUCAGUGUGUCAUGGUAUAAAGAACUUAAGUGUCCAUGUAAUGCCAAGAAAAUUAUUAUCCACCUACCUCCUGCUGUAAAAAGCUAGCACACUACCAGUGAAACCCUGACAUCUUGGUUGUAAGCUGUAACUGAUUUUGUUCAGUCAUUUUCUCCUA